rnacentral:lncRNA from 1 species
AUGCCAAGAAUCCUUCUGUCUGACAUCCUUAUCCUCCGCAACUGGAAAAUAUGGGUGGGGUGGGGUGGAAAAUUGAAAUUAUUAACUAGUAGAAAGCUCCAGUUUGAAAAGACAAGACAAGGAAAGGAAAGAAAGGGAAAAGAAACACAAAGCAUGACAGAGGCACUUUCUGGAGAAAUUGCCCCAUUGCAAUUUAUCUGGAAUCUGUUUUGCCUCAUCUACUGAAGCCAAGCAAUGGAGAUUCAAGACAGGCCACCAUCCUCUCACUGUUUCUUAUCAAUAAGGCAUGCAAGAGUAUGCAAGCAGAUGAGAUUAUUGUGACAGGAUGUCCAUCCAGCUUUUGGAAACCACCUCUUUGGUCAUCAGAUCUUUGUGGAUGGGCAGUCAGCAUGGCAAUAAAUAUAAUGGGAACAAACCUGGAGAAGCA